rnacentral:rRNA from 1 species
AGUGAACGCUGGCGGUAGGCCUAACACAUGCAAGUCGAACGGCAGCACAGUAAGCGCUUGCUCUUCCGGGUGGCGAGUGGCGGACGGGUGAGGAAUACAUCGGAAUCUACUUUUUCGUGGGGGAUAACGUCGGGAAACUUACGCUAAUACCGCAUACGACCUACGGGUGAAAGCAGGGGCUCUUCGGACCUUGCGCGAUUGAAUGAGCCGAUGUCGCAUUAGCUAGUUGGCGGGGUAAAGGCCCACCAAGGCGACGAUCCGUAGCUGGUCUGAGAGGAGGACCGGCCACACUGGAACUGAGACACGGUCCAGACUCCUACGGGAGGCAGCAGUGGGGAAUAUUGGACAAUGGGCGCAAGCCUGAUCCAGCCAUACCGCGUGGGUGAAGAAGGCCUUCGGGUUGUAAAGCCCUUUUGUUGGGAAAGAAAAGCAGCAGGUUAAUACCCCGCUGUUCUGACGGUACCCAAAGAAUAAGCACCGGCUAACUUCGUG